UACGUAGGGUGCGAGCGUUGUCCGGAAUUAUUGGGCGUAAAGAGCUUGUAGGCGGUUUGUCGCGUCUGCCGUGAAAAUUCGAGGCUCAACCUCGAACUUGCGGUGGGUACGGGCAGACUAGAGUGUGGUAGGGGAGACUGGAAUUCCUGAUGUAGCGGUGAAAUGCGCAGAUAUCAGGAGGAACACCGGUGGCGAAGGCGGGUCUCUGGGCCGAUACUGACGCUGAGGAGCGAAAGCAUGGGUAGCGAACAGG
rnacentral:rRNA from 1 species